CAGGCCUCGGCCCCAGCCCCGCGCACGCGCCGGGACCCGGCGAGGGGGGCGGAGGCGGGGAGCGCCCCCCUGUGCUCGCGCGCCUCCUGCCUGCGUCCCCGCGGACCCCCAGCCGACGCAAGGUUGGGGCCUCCAGAUAACAACUGUACUUCACACCAAGCACAGUGCCUGGCAAUAGCAGAUGUUGAAUGAACGAAUGUGUAUGUCUCUGCAGGAGCAGAGGUUUGUUCCACAUGGACGUCUUCAGGACAUUCUAGGUUUCCUCUUAUGCCCGUCUGACCUGUGGGAGACUGGGGUGGGCAAGUCUCCCAUCCUUUCGUACCUAGACGUGCCACACCAGCCUUCCUGUUCUGUUGCUUCAAGGUGACAUGAGGCACUUCUCCCCACAGCUUGCUGGCCUGCUAUCUCCCGGUGUCAGGCUGUGGCCCAGGAAGAUGGCAUGAGAACGUCUUCUCUCAGGACCCUCCAGCUCGCUCUACGGAAAGCCAGCUGCCAUGUUGUGAGGACAUUGAAGCAGGCCUGUGGAGAGGCCCACCUGAUCAGGAACGGAUGACUCCUUCGGACGUCAAGCAAAGAACGGAGACCUUUCUGUCACUAGUCAUGUGAAUGAUCUACUACCUGGGCCGCAAGUCAACCAGCCCCAGUCAAGCCCUCAGAUGACUGCAGCCCUGGUUAAUGCCUUGACUGCAACCUCCUGAAAGACCCUUAGCCAGAACCACCCUGUGAGUUGCUCCCAAAUUCCCGACCCACAGAAACACAGUGUUUCAUAAUGAGACAAUGUUUGCUGUUUAAGCUCCUAAAUUUUGAG